GAGAUAGAGGCGCGUUUCGCCAUCAGUACCCGCCGCCGAUGCCGUGCAGGGCAGGCCCGGGGAAAGGGACGGACGCCGAAGGCAGCCCCCGCUGCAAAGAGGGCUGUACUGGGCGGGCAGACUAAGAGCUGUCCGACUGUCGCGGCUGGGAACAGUUUGCGGAGAGCUAUCC
rnacentral:ncRNA from 1 species